AUUGAACGCUGGCGGCAGGCCUAACACAUGCAAGUCGAGCGAGCGGCGGACGGGUGAGAAUUGUAUGGGGGCUGCCCGUUAGAGGGGGAUAACUCUUGGAAACGGUAGAUAAAACAGCAUACUAUCGGAUAACCCAUAUGGGAUUAGCUAGUAGGUGAGGUAAUGGCUCACCUAGGCGACGAUCCCUAGCUGGUCUGAGAGGAUGAUCAGCCACACUGGAACUGAGACACGGACCAGACUCCUACGGAGGCAGCAGUGGGGAAUAUUGCACAAUGGGCGCAAGCCUGAUGCAGCCAUGCCGCGUGUAUGAAGAAGGCCUUAGGGUUGUAAAGUACUUUCAGCCGGGAGGCGUUACCCACAGAAGAAGCACCGGCUAACUCCGUGCCAGCAGCCGCGGUAAUAC
rnacentral:rRNA from 1 species